UUCAAAAUGAUGUGGACAUUUAAAAUAAAAUAAUGGGGAAAAUUUCUUCUGAAAGAUGAAAAAAGAAUUAGUGACAAUUUUCAGUUAAUGCUGUUUCAGUGACAAAAAUGUUGUGGGGACCAUUUUAGUGAUAAAUGUGUACUGAGUGCGUGGGAAGGGAAAACCACCUCUGUGACGCAGAGUUGAAUUGUGUGAUUGCUUUGCUUGCUGAUGCAUGCAGCAUAAUAACUUAAAAUAAAUAUGCUUGUGUAUCUGAGUCACAUCAUCUAGCUGCCUGUUGUCCAGUUGUUUUCCAAGUCUGUGUAAGCCACUAUACAGAAAGAGUAGCUCAAGUGCAAGCUCUGGAUUGCAGUGAAUCCCACACUUUUGUGAACUUCCAGAUUUAGCCUGGACCAAGAAGAUUAUGGAUUUACAAUCUCCCAAGAGAGCUUUCCUGUACACACUGCAUCUGUUGAAGGAGCAGUGAAAAAGCUGUGCAUCAUCGGUGAGGGAUGAAAGACAAGCAGUACGCAUUAUCGUAUAUCAAAGUGUAAUGCUGGAACCUCAAUCUACAGGAACAGAAACAAGCCUUUCCUAGCAUCAAGACAUUAAACCCUCCAAGAAACAAUCAAACCAACACCACAGAAUUCACUGGGAGAUUUAGCUCUUCUGCUUCUGGAGUGUUCUGGUAUUGUGGUCUAGUGAACUACAAGGUGACUGAACAAAGAGAUAACAACCUACCUUGAAGAUAGCUGCCUCAAAAAGAAACAUAAUGGAUAAAGUUCAGACCUGUAGGAUCUCAGCUAGCCUUACUAGUCUGGUGUGUGUCCCUCUGCCUGUGCUGCUGUUUGGCAGGCUGCCAGUGCCCAGAAAACACCAAGGAGCAGGGACGCUGCUGGAAAAAGGACUGUCAAGGUGUGUCUUGUCCUGAAGAAGGCAGGGUUAUCCUCAGGUAAAAUACACAUGCCGUGUGUUUGGGACAAGAGUGGGGUGAUGAGCCAAUAAUAAAGCUAGUGUCUUCUGUCAUCAAAGAAAGGGUAAGUCAGGAAUAACUUGUAAAUUGGCAGAGGCAUUACAGAUGUCAGUGAGGGGUGUUUAUGGCAC